AGUGAACGCUGGCGGUAGGCCUAACACAUGCAAGUCGAACGACCGCACAGUAAGAGCUUUCUCUUACCGGUGGCGAGUGGCGGACGGGUGACACAUACAUCAGCUUCUACUAUUACUUGGGUAAUAUCGUGAGGACACUUCCGCUACUACCGCAUAUAUUCUACGGCUGAAAUCAGUAGAUCUUCACACCUUUCCCGUCUCUAUGAGCCGAUGCCGCAUUAGCUAGUUGGCUGGGUAAAGGCCCACCAAGGCAACGAUGCGUAGCUGAUCUGAGAGGAUGAUCGGCCACACUGGAACUGAGACACGGUCCAGACUCCUACGGGAGGCAGCAGUGGGGAAUAUUCGGCAAUGGGCGCAAGCCUGAUGCAGCCAUGCCGCGUGAGUGAAGAAGGUCUUCGGGUUGUAAAGCUCUUUUAUUAGGAAAGAAAAGAAGCGGAAGAAUCUCCCGCUGUUCUGACGGUACCCAAAGAGAAAGCACCGGCUAACUUCGUG
rnacentral:rRNA from 1 species